CAGAUGUAGUCACUUAGAGUUCGCUCCGCAGUGCCUGUCUCUAAAACCCUAGCGAAGUUGGGCAUAAUCGCUGGCCCUCCUUUCUCCAACUCCGAGUUUCAAUACCAAAUAUGUCGCACUUUGGAAGAUCUGGUCCUCCGGACAUCAGAGACACCUAUUCCCUUCUCGUCCUUAACAUUACCUUCCGUACAACCGCUGACGACCUCUACCCCCUUUUUGACAAGUACGGCAAGGUUGUCGAUGUCUUCAUCCCCAGAGACCGAAGGACUGGCGAAUCACGAGGCUUCGCUUUUGUUCGUUAUAAGUAUGCCGACGAGGCUCAGAAGGCAGUAGAUAAGCUUGAUGGAAGAGUGGUUGAUGGAAGAGAAAUUAUGGUUCAAUUCGCAAAAUACGGACCUAAUGCAGAAAAAAUUCAAAAGGGCAGGAUAGUGGAAACAUCCUCCAAGCCAAGAGGGAGGUCAAGAAGCCGCAGCCCUCGUUCAAGGCAUAGGGAUGAAUAUAGAGACAGGGACUACAGGAGGAGAAGUCGCAGUAGAAGUAGGGAAAGAUACGAUCGUGACAAGUACCGUGAAAGGGACAGGGAUUAUCGUCGCCGGAGUAGGAGCCGCAGUGCAAGUCCUGAUCGGCAUAAAGAUCACAGGAGAGGAAGAGAUGAUGAGGAUAGAAGAACUCGAAGCAGAUCAGUUGAUAGUGCAUCACCUGCUCGACAUGGCUCCAGUCCUCGUAGAAGCCCAUCUCCUCAUAGGAGGUCUUCUCGAGAUGAGCGGCAUGAUGAACAGAAUAGUCAUGAGCAAUCACCUACUCAGAAGGAUGUUUCACGGCGUGAUCGUCCUAAUGAUUCCCGAAGCCCGUCUCACAAAUCUGAUGCUGAUGAAUGAUGGAGUGGCUGCCUAUUACAGGGAUCUAUUGGUGGCCUUAUGAUGAGUUCUGUAAUCAGUUAUAUGGAUGAAGUCACUAAAUGAUGAAUGUUGUGAUCUGCAUCUUGGAUUAAUGACGUUUUUGCAUGGACUUUUUUGGAAGCCUGUGUUCGAGAAGGUUGAAUGUUGCUGUCUUAGAGAUGGUGCACGAACCGUCUGGGGCAUUAUGCCAAAUUCUUGUGUAAUCCGGGUUGCGUUGUCCAGUGUCGUACCAACCCUUUGGUAUUGGAAUUGAUUCUUUCAAGAUGACUCAGCGGAUGCAGCUGCUUGCUUUUGUGCCGGACUGCCCGACGAUGUUGUAAUUUUCCUCUGUUGAAGUCAUUCUUAUGCGACUGGGAACUGCCCUGCCCGCAUUUGCUGUUGCUAAUGGCGUGAUGCGUGCCUAAAGAUGACCUUGUAGGAGUCUGGUCCAUACAUAUUAGGAAAAAUGAUAAUAAAAUUCUUUUGAAUUGUGUUAAUGAUAUUUUAGUCUAUUAAAAUGCUAUAAUUUUUCUGAAGUUUUUAGGAUUUUUUUGUCAUUAAAGAAUUAGUGUAAAUGGUCAAAUUGUCCUUAAUUUAAGAUUGUGAAUUUCUGUUGAUUUUUUGUGAUUUUAAAAAAUGUGAAUCUUAGAACAAAAUUUACAAAGAAAUGUUGUGAAUUUGCAAGUUGAUGUUGAAUUUUUGCUAUUUCAAGAAAAAAAUUGUGAAUUUUAAAACAAAAUUUAUGAAUGGUAAUUUAUAUUUAAAUUAAGGACAAUAUGAUCAUUUAUAUUAAUUUUUUAAUAACAAAAGAAUCCUUAAAAAAUUUUAAAAAAAUUAUAACAUUUUAAAGAGAAAUUAAAAUGUUAUUUUUAUAAUUUAAAAGAAUUUUAUUAUUAUUUUUCUUAGAUAUUACACAGGAUAAUUAUUUUUAGGAUUUGCAUGUUUCUACUCUAGGUUUUGGUAAAUUGAGAAAUUCUCCAGAGCAUCGUUUGAGUAGACUUUGAUAGCCUAAUUUAUUCAAGGCAGUAGAACGUCAACCUUUUAUGUCUCCUCUUUUUUUCCAAGUCAGUUGAGGCAAACUAUUGGAUUCA